UGAUAGGCUAGGUGGCAGGUCAGCCCUCUGCUGUAUCACAAACGGGCUUUAUGGUGAACUGAAGCUGGAGUCAGGUAGAGUCUCUAGUUAUCAGUCUCAAUCCGAACUAUGAGAUCCUGUCCUACAGGGUUAGUAUCUGUGUGAAUCUGGUCAGGUCGGGGACGAAGCAGCCAUCAUCAUAUUUAUUGGCGCUUGUAGUAAACAGGGUUAAGAAAGGAUUGAGGGUGCUGGUAAUUACUGAUUUUAUCGAGCUUCAGCAUGCCUGUCA
rnacentral:SRP_RNA from 1 species